GGCGUAAAGGGCUCGCAGGCGGUUUCUUAAGUCUGAUGUGAAAGCCCCCGGCUCAACCGGGGAGGGUCAUUGGAAACUGGGGAACUUGAGUGCAGAAGAGGAGAGUGGAAUUCCACGUGUAGCGGUGAAAUGCGUAGAGAUGUGGAGGAACACCAGUGGCGAAGGCGACUCUCUGGUCUGUAACUGACGCUGAGGAGCGAAAGCGUGGGGAGCGAACAGGAUUAGAUACCCUGGUAGUCCACGCCGUAAACGAUGAGUGCUAAGUGUUAGGGGGUUUCCGCCCCUUAGUGCUGCAGCUAACGCAUUAAGCACUCCGCCUGGGGAGUACGGUCGCAAGACUGAAACUCAAAGGAAUUGACGGGGGCCCGCACAAGCGGUGGAGCAUGUGGUUUAAUUCGAAGCAACGCGAAGAACCUUACCAGGUCUUGACAUCCUCUGACAAUCCUAGAGAUAGGACGUCCCCUUCGGGGGCAGAGUGACAGGUGGUGCAUGGUUGUCGUCAGCUCGUGUCGUGAGAUGUUGGGUUAAGUCCCGCAACGAGCGCAACCCUUGAUCUUAGUUGCCAGCAUUCAGUUGGGCACUCUAAGGUGACUGCCGGUGACAAACCGGAGGAAGGUGGGGAUGACGUCAAAUCAUCAUGCCCCUUAUGACCUGGGCUACACACGUGCUACAAUGGACAGAACAAAGGGCAGCGAAACCGCGAGGUUAAGCCAAUCCCACAAAUCUGUUCUCAGUUCGGAUCGCAGUCUGCAACUCGACUGCGUGAAGCUGGAAUCGCUAGUAAUCGCGGAUCAGCAUGCCGCGGUGAAUACGUUCCCG
rnacentral:rRNA from 1 species